CACGUAGACGGCUUUGUAAGUCGGAUGUGAAAUCCCCGGGCUCAACCUGGGAACUGCAUUCGAAACUGCAUGGCUAGAAUGUGGAAGAGGGAAGCGGAAUUCCAGGUGUAGCGGUGAAAUGCGUAGAUAUCUGGAGGAACAUCAGUGGCGAAGGCGGCUUCCUGGUCCGACAUUGACGUUCAGGUGCGAAAGCGUGGGGAGCAAACAGGAUUAGAUACCCUGGUAGUCCACGCCAUAAACGAUGAGAACUAGAUGUCGGGAGGGUCAGCCUCUCGGUGUCGCAGCUAACGCGUUAAGUUCUCCGCCUGGGGAGUACGGCCGCAAGGUUGAA
rnacentral:rRNA from 1 species